rnacentral:rRNA from 1 species
UACGUAGGGGGCAAGCGUUGUCCGGAUUUAUUGGGCGUAAAGAGCUCGUAGGUGGUUCGGUAAGUCGGGUGUGAAAACUCCAGGCUCAACCUGGAGACGCCACCUGAUACUGCUGUGGCUAGAGUCCGGUAGGGGAGCAUGGAAUUCCUGGUGUAGCGGUGAAAUGCGCAGAUAUCAGGAGGAACACCAGUGGCGAAGGCGGUGCUCUGCGCCGGAACUGACGCUGAGGAGCGAAAGCGUGGGGAGCAAACAGG